CCAGAUCCUCUGUAUACAACCCGUCAAGGAAUUACCCCUACCACUGUCAAUUUUCAAUUCUACCACUCAUAAGAUUAAUUAAACGAGAUUACUCCAUGCCUUUCCAGCUACUGGUCAACAAUAUUACGUAGUAGUCAGGCAACCGAGUCACCAUGCAAACGAGGCAGACAACGUGAGCCAUGCUGUACGAGAUAGUCCCUUUAACAGCUUUCAAGUUGGAAAAGAGAGAAAAGUACAGAAUACGGUCUUCCAACUGCUUAAUCCUGGCGUACACGUCUUGCGGUACAGAACAUCCUGUUUGAGGACGCCGUUUUAUUUUAUGCACAGUUCAUUGUCCUUGCAAGCACAUAAUAAGUUACCCGACUUGAUCUUCAAAUGAGACUCCAUGUUGCGCAGCCUCUCGUGAAUACCCUCAACUGGUGGCGAAACCGCUCGUCUCUUGGCAUGCGAUGGAGUGUCUGAAGGUUUUGGUCGCAGUAGUUUUGUCAUGGGCCCCCACUGGUUUACCACACGACUCACUGAGUGUAAUUGACUCAUGUUUAAUGCAUCUGUACAAUAAAUUGGCCAUUCCAUUACCUUUCACAUGACUACUUCCGC